AACCUUCAAGGUCCAAGCUGUAAUUUUGGCUAUACCCUUUUUUCACAUGUUAGUUUAAGCGAGAAUAUUAUUUAUUAUUUAUUUAACAUAAAAUAUAAUUAGCUCAGUGUUUUAUAUUACUAACAAAAUAUUUUUAGGAUUAGAAAGGGGAUUAUAAGAGGAUAAUAACGUGCCAGCAUCCGCGGUCAUACUUUGUUCUUAGAGUCAAGAUAUAUUUAUAAAACAUUUCUUUUAAUUAUAAAAAAACUGUUUAAUUUAUUUAGGUAGAAUUAUUAAAUUAUUUAGUAAAUUUUAGUUAAUAGUUAUUUAAAAACUUUGAGAACCUGGAUUAGAUACCCAGUUACGAGUUUAUAACUUGUUUUAGAUCAUUACUAAUAUGAAAAUUUAUUGGAUUUGGCGGCAAAAUAGCCUUUUAGAGGAACCUGCCCUAUAAAUGACAAUCCACAAGGUACCUUACUUUUUUUGUAGUCAGUUUACAUACCGCUGUUGUUAGUUAAUUUCAUUAGAAAGUUAUCUAUAAUAUUAUUUAUAAUUACUUCAAGUAAAGGUGUAGCUUAUAAAAAAGAAAGAGGUGGGUUACAACUGAUUUAACAAUACGAAUUUAUAAAAGAAUAAAUAUAAUGAAGGAGGAUUUAAAAGUAAAAUUUUUUUAAAGGAAGUUUGAUUUGAGAAAUAUUUUGUGUACAAACCGCCCGUCGCUCUCGUAGUUAAGAGAUAAGUCGUAACAAGGUAAAUGUAACGGAAGUUGUAUUUAGUUGAAG
rnacentral:ncRNA from 1 species